UGAUAGUGAAUAUGUCCAUUCCUCCGUAGAGCCGGAGACCAACAACACAUCUGUCCACUCUGGUGACCUUGGGAACGAAAUCGAUUACUCCUGCACUAAGGACAAUGAGUGCUGCGGUGAACAGCUGUGCGUGUGGGGUCAGUGCAGUCUAAAUGCAACCAAAGGAGCGGCUGGCAGCACUUGUCAAUACCAGGC